AGAGAGAGAAAAUCCAUGAAGAGAGAGAAAAUUCUAGAGAGAGAAAGUAGAGAGAGAAAGUGGAGAGAGAAACUUUCGUAUCCUUCCGAUGAGGCACUCAUGAUCGAGAUCAUCAGAGGUCCUAUCAGGGUGACUCAAUAUGAAUCAAGUGUUACAAAUUUCAAAUAGAAUCGGACUGGGAUCAGAUCUACCGCAUGAAUUUCGGAGCAAUCUCAAAUCAUCUUAUUUUCAUCUUCGAGUUUAUUCUAGGGUUCAUGAUGCAAUCAGAGAAGAAGAAAAGAUCCCAGAGAGACAAAAUCCGUAAAGAGAGAGAAAAGUUUAGAGAGAGAAU
rnacentral:lncRNA from 1 species